rnacentral:lncRNA from 1 species
AAAAAUAACAAAAAUUUAUCAAAAAUUACGAGUUAGGAAACCCUCUUUGUUCUUUCUGAAGUAAACUUUGUGAAAUUUUCAUUGAAAAAAAGAAACAAAAAAGAAACCAAAAAAACCAAGCAGGUAAGCUCUGAUACAUUUGCAUUAAAGAAUCACUCAGCUGUUUUCAUGUUUUUAAGUUCCACAAAGAGGAUUAGCACCGUUGAGAUAAAAAAACUCGCUCACCAAAAUUUCAACCAUCAAUUUUGAGAAAACUACAAUAUUGCUAAAAGCAUAAAUUAUAGAAAAACGAUUAUCGUCAUCUGUGCUUUGACAUCAGAAGCAUUAAAUGAAGGUAUCACAGAUUAAUCUAUUCUAAAUGUUUUAGGCCCCUUUACUAUCUUUUUGUUGAGUUGGUGCGCCAUUUGAACAUAUUGUCACUAGUAUAUUAGAAUUGAAGAGACAAGUUGAAAUCAAAAAGCGCAUCCUACCGGCUGAGAUCUUUAAAAAAUGAAAAAAAAAUGGGCAUGAAAAUUUUGUUACAUUCUAUAAAUCAUUCAUAUUCAUGCCAGAUACAAACUAAAAUGGAAGAUAUGCAACUCAAAAAACCAAAAUUAUCUGUAUUUUUUAUGAAUUUCCAAAAAAUAAGGUGACAACAAAUUUGUUAAAAUUCCACCAGGUAUUUUUACAUAAAAUAUACCAAAAAGGAUUUCCAAACGCGGAUAUGUAAACAGCUUUUUCAGGAGUGUUCUCUUUAAAACGAAUUUUAAUCUUUCUUAACGACCAAUGCUACUAGAGUAAUAACAAACAAGAAAAAAACUACUGUGAAACGUAGUUGGAACUGUAUGUGACAAGGUGGUAAAAUAGUGCCGGGUCCACACUAUUUUGCAGGGAAAACAAGACCAAAAAGUUCAACAAUUUUUGAGCUUUUUGGCCUUGUUUUCCUCGCAGAAAAGUGUAGACCCAGCACUAUUUUACCACCUUUGAUAAUAGCAAAUUAAUGUCUUUUGGAUUUCGUUUGUUUCAGCUCCACGACGAGGUGCUCUCCCACCACCACCUCAAACAGAGGAUCCAAGUUUUGGUCCCCUCAGCUUACCAGCCACCGUGAAUUCAAGUAUUCCAAAAAAAGAUCCACCUCCUCCCCCACCGCCUCGUCCAGGACCCACACUAGAAGUUCAUCUCUUGAUCUCAUAGACUGGCAAAAUAUGGAAAUAAUGGACCUCCAAUCGUGCCCCCAAGAGUUUCGCCAAGUGUGGUUUCACCAAAGAAAUUAG